rnacentral:sRNA from 1 species
UACUGACCAACACCCGCUCCGUGACCGC